rnacentral:rRNA from 1 species
UACGAGUGCCUCGAGCGUUAUCCGGAAUCAUUGGGCGUAAAGGGUGUGUAGGCGGUUGUGUUAGUCUCGCGUAAAAUCUUUCGGCUCAACCGAGAGCUCGCGCGGGAAACGGCACGACUAAGAGGAUGGAAGGGGUCUGCGGAACUCAUGGUGUAGCGGUGAAAUGCGUUGAUAUCAUGGGGAACACCGAAAGCGAAGGCAGCAGACUGGUCCACUCCUGACGCUGAAACACGAAAGCGUGGGUCGCGAAUGGG